rnacentral:rRNA from 1 species
UGCAGUCGAACGAUGAACCUCCUUCGGGAGGGGAUUAGUGGCGAACGGGUGAGUAACACGUGGGCAAUCUGCCCUGCACUCUGGGACAAGCCCUGGAAACGGGGUCUAAUACCGGAUACGACUCGGGAGGGCAUCCUUCCGGGUGGAAAGCUCCGGCGGUGCAGGAUGAGCCCGCGGCCUAUCAGCUUGUUGGUGGGGUGAUGGCCUACCAAGGCGACGACGGGUAGCCGGCCUGAGAGGGCGACCGGCCACACUGGGACUGAGACACGGCCCAAACUCCUACGGGAGGCAGCAGUGGGGAAUAUUGCACAAUGGGCGAAAGCCUGAUGCAGCGACGCCGCGUGAGGGAUGACGGCCUUCGGGUUGUAAACCUCUUUCAGCAGGGAAGAAGCGCAAGUGACGGUACCUGCAGAAGAAGCGCCGGCUAACUACGUGCCAGCAGCCGCGGUAAUACGUAGGGCGCAAGCGUUGUCCGGAAUUAUUGGGCGUAAAGAGCUCGUAGGCGGCUUGUCGCGUCGGAUGUGAAAGCUCGGGGCUUAACCCCGGGUCUGCAUUCGAUACGGGCAGGCUAGAGUGUGGUAGGGGAGAUCGGAAUUCCUGGUGUAGCGGUGAAAUGCGCAGAUAUCAGGAGGAACACCGGUGGCGAAGGCGGAUCUCUGGGCCAUUACUGACGCUGAGGAGCGAAAGCGUGGGGAGCGAACAGGAUUAGAUACCCUGGUAGUCCACGCCGUAAACGUUGGGAACUAGG